rnacentral:lncRNA from 1 species
CAAGUUCCAGGUGGGCUCCGCAUAGUCAGCACCCAGGUACUCCACGUAGGAGGCGAAGCCCUCGUUCAGCCACAGGUCAUUCCACCACUCUAUGGUCACCAGUCCCCAGUUCUCCAUGGCGCCGGCGUUGAAGUCUGGCAGGCCAGCAAGUACGUGGACAUCUUGGGCGUGGUGUGGAACUCAGUGACAUUCCAGUUGGGGUCUUCUGGA